rnacentral:lncRNA from 1 species
GCUGGUUAAAUUUGGCAUGUUAAUGCAUAGUAAUGGCCUGACAGGCUGACAGCGAUGAAAAUUAUUUCUGGAAAUGAGGAAGGAGAGCAGUAACAAACUAGCUGGUCAAAUCCUUUAGGCUUCAGCCUCACAUUUUCAUUAUCAACAUGCUCUUGAAAGGUUAACCCCUCUUUCUUUUCUUUUCUUUUCUUUUCUUUUUUUUUAUUCACAGCGGCUAAAAUUAUUGGUAGAGAAUGAGAUUC